UGGGGAAUCUUGGACAAUGGGCGCAAGCCUGAUCCAGCCAUGCCGCGUGGAUGAUGAAGGCCUUAGGGUUGUAAAAUCCUUUCGUGGGGGACGAUAAUGACGGUACCCCAAGAAUAAGCCCCGGCAAACUUCGUGCCAGCAGCCGCGGUAAUACGAAGGGGGCUAGCGUUGUUCGGAAUUACUGGGCGUAAAGCGCACGUAGGCGGAUUGUUAAGUCAGAGGUGAAAUCCCGGAGCUCAACUUCGGAACUGCCUUUGAUACUGGCAAUCUAGAGUCCGGAAGAGGUUAGUGGAAUUCCCAGUGUAGAGGUGAAAUUCGUAGAUAUUCGGAAGAACACCAGUGGCGAAGGCGGCUCACUGGACGUGUAUUGACGCUGAGGUACGAAAGCGUGGGGAGCAAACAGGAUUAGAUACCCAGGUAGUCCCUGAGCGGGCUGGCAAGGCGCAU
rnacentral:rRNA from 1 species